UACGGAGGGUGCAAGCGUUGUUCGGAAUUAUUGGGCGUAAAGGGCAAGUAGGUGGUCUUAUAAGUCUACUGUGAAAUCCCCGGGCCCAACCUGGGAACUGCAUUCGAAACUGGCAGGCUAGAGUCUUGUAGAGGGGGGUAGAAUUCCAGGUGUAGCGGUGAAAUGCGUAGAGAUCUGGAGGAAUACCGGUGGCGAAGGCGGCCCCCUGGACAAAGACUGACGCUCAGGUGCGAAAGCGUGGGGAGCAAACAGG
rnacentral:rRNA from 1 species